rnacentral:rRNA from 1 species
GUAGCGAAAUUCCUUGUCGGGUAAGUUCCGACCUGCACGAAUGGCGUAACGAUGGCCACACUGUCUCCUCCAGAGACUCAGCGAAGUUGAAAUGUUUGUGAUGAUGCAAUCUCCCCGCGGAAAGACGGAAAGACCCCAUGAACCUUUACUGUAGCUUUGUAUUGGACUUUGAACAGAUCUGUGUAGGAUAGGUGGGAGGCUUUGAAGUGCGGUCGCUAGAUCGCAUGGAGCCAACGUUGAAAUACCACCCUGGUGUGUUUGAGGUUCUAACCUAGGCCCAUUAUCUGGGUCGGGGACAGUGCAUGGUAGGCAGUUUGACUGGGGCGGUCUCCUCCCAAAGUGUAACGGAGGAGUUCGAAGGUACGCUAGUUACGGUCGGACAUCGUGACGAUAGUGCAAUGGCAUAAGCGUGCUUAACUGCGAGACUGACAAGUCGAGCAGAUGCGAAAGCAGGACAUAGUGAUCCGGUGGUUCUGUAUGGAAGGGCCAUCGCUCAACGGAUAAAAGGUACUCCGGGGAUAACAGGCUGAUACCGCCCAAGAGUUCAUAUCGACGGCGGUGUUUGGCACCUCGAUGUCGGCUCAUCUCAUCCUGGGGCUGAAGCAGGUCCCAAGGGUAUGGCUGUUCGCCAUUUAAAGAGGUACGCGAGCUGGGUUUAGAACGUCGUGAGACAGUUCGGUCCCUAUCUACCGUGGGCGUUGGAAAUUUGAGAGGAUCUGCUCCUAGUACGAGAGGACCAGAGUGGACGAACCUCUGGUGUUCCGGUUGUCACGCCAGUGGCAUUGCCGAGUAGCUAUGUUCGGAUGGGAUAACCGCUGAAAGCAUCUAAGCGGGAAGCCCACCUUAAGAUUAGAUUUCCCUAAAGAGCCGUUGUAGACUACGACGUUGAUAGGUUGGGUGUGGAAGCAUAGUGAUAUGUGUAGCUAACCAAUACUAAUUGCUCGUUUGGCUUGAC